UACGAAGGGGGCUAGCGUUGCUCGGAAUUACUGGGCGUAAAGGGCGCGUAGGCGGAUAGUUUAGUCAGAGGUGAAAGCCCAGGGCUCAACCUUGGAAAUGCCUUUGAUACUGGCUAUCUUGAGUACGGGAGAGGUGUGUGGAACUCCGAGUGUAGAGGUGAAAUUCGUAGAUAUUCGGAAGAACACCGGUGGCGAAGGCGACACACUGGCCCGUUACUGACGCUGAGGCGCGAAAGCGUGGGGAGCAAACAGG
rnacentral:rRNA from 1 species